UACGUAGGGGGCAAGCGUUGUCCGGAUUUAUUGGGCGUAAAGAGCGUGUAGGCGGCCAGGCAGGUCCGUUGUGAAAACUCGAGGCUCAACCUCGAGACGUCGGCGGAAACCCUCUGGCUAGAGUCCGGAAGAGGAGAGUGGAAUUCCUGGUGUAGCGGUGAAAUGCGCAGAUAUCAGGAAGAACCCGCGGGGCGAAGGCGGCUCUCUGGGACGGUACUGGCGCUGAGACGCGAAAGCGUGGGGAGAAAACAGG
rnacentral:rRNA from 1 species